GACGGAGGAUGCAAGCGUUAUCCGGAAUGAUUGGGCGUAAAGCGUCCGCAGGUGGCAGUUCAAGUCUGCUGUCAAAGACCGGGGCUUAACUUCGGAAAGGCAGUGGAAACUGAACAGCUAGAGUAUGGUAGGGGCAGAGGGAAUUCCUGGUGUAGCGGUGAAAUGCGUAGAGAUCGGAAGGAACGCCCGUGGCGAAAGCGAGGUCCUGGACGCCUACUGACGCUGAGACGCGAAAGCCAGGGGAGCGAACGGG
rnacentral:rRNA from 1 species